AUUGAACGCUGGCGGCAUGCUUUACACAUGCAAGUCGAACGGUAACAGGGACUUCGGUCUGCUGACGAGUGGCGAACGGGUGAGUAACAUAUCGGAACGUGCCCAGUAAUGGGGGAUAGCUCGGCGAAAGCCGGAUUAAUACCGCAUACGCCCUGAGGGGGAAAGUGGGGGAUCUUCGGACCUCACGUUAUUGGAGCGGCCGAUAUCAGAUUAGCUAGUUGGUGGGGUAAAGGCCUACCAAGGCGACGAUCUGUAGCUGGUCUGAGAGGAUGAUCAGCCACACUGGGACUGAGACACGGCCCAGACUCCUACGGGAGGCAGCAGUGGGGAAUUUUGGACAAUGGGCGAAAGCCUGAUCCAGCCAUGCCGCGUGAGUGAAGAAGGCCUCGGUUGUAAGACUCGUUCAGUGGAAGGAAAGACGG
rnacentral:rRNA from 1 species